rnacentral:rRNA from 1 species
UACGUAGGGUGCGAGCGUUAAUCGGAAUCACUGGGCGUAAAGGGUGCGUAGGCGGGGCUUUAAGUCAGGGGUGAAAUCCUGGAGCUCAAAUCCAGAACUGCCUUUGAUACUGAAGAUCUUGAGUUCGGGAGAGGUGAGUGGGACUGCGAGUGUAGAGGUGAAAUUCGUAGAUAUUCGCAAGAACACCAGUGGCGAAGGCGGCUCACUGGCCCGAUACUGACGCUGAGGCACGAAAGCGUGGGGAGCAAACAGG